UACGAAGGGGGCUAGCGUUGCUCGGAAUUACUGGGCGUAAAGGGCGCGUAGGCGGCACUGUUAGUCAGACGUGAAAUCCCCAGGCUCAACCUGGGAACUGCGUCUGAUACUGGAUGGCUUGAAUCCGGGAGAGGGAUGCAGAAUUCCAGGUGUAGCGGUGAAAUGCGUAGAUAUCAGGAGGAACACCUGUGGUGUAGACAGCUUACUGGACCAUAACUGACGCUGAGGCACGAAAGCGUGGGUAGCAAACAGG
rnacentral:rRNA from 1 species